rnacentral:rRNA from 1 species
UACAGAGGUCCCAAGCGUUGUUCGGAUUCACUGGGCGUAAAGGGUGCGUAGGUGGUGAGGUAAGUCUAAUGUGAAAUCUCCGAGCUCAACUCGGAAAUGGCAUCGGAAACUACCUCGCUAGAGGUUUGGAGGGGGGACUGGAAUUCUCGGUGUAGCAGUGAAAUGCGUAGAUAUCGAGAGGAACACCAGUGGCGAAGGCGAGUCCCUGGACAACACCUGACACUGAGGCACGAAAGCUAGGGGAGCAAACAGG